GAUGAACGCUGGCGGCAGGCCUAACACAUGCAAGUCGAACGAACCCUUCGGGGUUAGUGGCGGAUGGGUGAGUAACACGUGGGAACGUGCCUUUAGGUUCGGAAUAACUCAGGGAAACUUGUGCUAAUACCGAAUGUGCCCUUCGGGGGAAAGAUUUAUCGCCUUUAGAGCGGCCCGCGUCUGAUUAGCUAGUUGGUGAGGUAAUGGCUCACCAAGGCUACGAUCAGUAGCUGGUCUGAGAGGAUGACCAGCCACAUUGGGACUGAGACACGGCCCAAACUCCUACGGGAGGCAGCAGUGGGGGAUCUUGCGCAAUGGGCGAAAGCCUGACGCAGCCAUGCCGCGUGGAUGAUGAAGGUCUUAGGAUUGUAAAAUCCUUUCACCGGUGAAGAUAAUGACUGUAGCCGGAGAAGAAGCCUCGGCUAACUUCGUGCCAGCAGCCGCCGUAACAC
rnacentral:rRNA from 1 species